rnacentral:rRNA from 1 species
UACGUAGGGUGCGAGCGUUAAUCGGAAUUAUUGGGCGUAAAGAGCUCGUAGGCGGUUUGUCGCGUCUGGUGUGAAAACCUCAGGCUCAACCUGGGGCGUGCAUCGGGUACGGGCAGACUAGAGUGCGGUAGGGGAGACUGGAAUUCCUGGUGUAGCGGUGGAAUGCGCAGAUAUCAGGAGGAACACCGAUGGCGAAGGCAGGUCUCUGGGCCGCAACUGACGCUGAGGAGCGAAAGCAUGGGGAGCGAACAGG